UACGUAGGGUGCAAGCGUUGUCCGGAAUUAUUGGGCGUAAAGAGCUCGUAGGCGGUCUGUCGCGUCGGCUGUGAAAACCCGGGGCUCAACCCCGGGCCUGCAGUCGAUACGGGCAGACUAGAGUGCGGUAGGGGAGACUGGAAUUCCUGGUGUAGCGGUGAAAUGCGCAGAUAUCAGGAGGAACACCGGUGGCGAAGGCGGGACUCUGGGCCGAUACUGACGCUGAGGAGCGAAAGCGUGGGGAGCAAACAGG
rnacentral:rRNA from 1 species